rnacentral:misc_RNA from 1 species
GAUGAAGAACGCAGCGAAAUGCGAUAAGUAAUGUGAAUUGCAGAAUUCAGUGAAUCAUCGAAUCUUUGAACGCACCUUGCGCCCUUUGGCUAUUCCGAAGGGCAUGCCUGUUUGAGUAUCAUGAACACCUCAACUCUCAUGGUUUGCCAUGAUGAGCUUGGACUCUGGGGGUCUUGCUGGCCUAUGGUCAGCUCCUCUCAAAUAAAUCAGCUUGCCAGUGUUUGGUGGCAUCACAGGUGUGAUAACUAUCUACGCUUGUGGUUUUCCAUCAGGUAACCUUCAGUGAUGGAGGUUCGCUGGAGCUCAUAAAUGUCCCUCCUCAGCGAGGACAGCUUUUUGAACGUUUGAUCUCAAAUCAGGUAGGACUACCCGCUGAACUUAAGCAUAUCAAUAAGCGGAGGA